AACCAGGUGACAGGACCCACACAAUUUGGGGGGCCCUGUGCAAAAUGAAAAUGUGGGGUCCCUGGUUUAAAAAAUCACGAAGAAUUUUAAGAUGACAACAGCAGGGCAUUGAACCAAGUGCUGGGUGCUUCUGAGAACAGAGCGCUGUGUGACUGCACAGGUCUCAUGGCGGUGAAGACAGCCCUGCCAGGCAAGCUCUUCUACCAGAGGCAAGCAUUUUCACCAGCCAUUUUGAAUUUGAUGUGCUCAGCACUUUGAGGUAGCUGGCUCCUGGGCUCAGAUUCUGACUCACUGGCUG
rnacentral:lncRNA from 1 species